rnacentral:rRNA from 1 species
GACGAACGCUGGCGGCGUGCCUAAUACAUGCAAGUUGAGCGAUGAAGCUUGGUGCUUGCUCCAAUUUGAAGAGCAGCGAACGGGUGAGUAACGCGUGGGGAAUCUGCCUUUGAGCGGGGGGCAACAUUUGGAAACGAAUGCUAAUACCGCAUAACAACUUUAAACAUAAGUUUUAAGUUUGAAAGAUGCAAUUGCAUCACUCAAAGAUGAUCCCGCGUUGUAUUAGCUAGUUUGUGAGGUAAAGGCCCACCAAGGCGAUGAUACAUAGCCGACCUGAGAGGGUGAUCGGCCACAAUGGGACUUGGACACGGGCCAAACUCCUACGGGAGGCAGCAGGAGGGGAUCUUCGGCAAUGGGCGAAAGGCUGACCGGGCAACGCCGCGGGGGUGAAGAAGGGUUUCGGAUCGUAAAACUCUGUUGGUAGAGAAGGACGUUGGGGGGAGGGGAAAGCUCAUCAAGUGACGGUAACUACCCAGAAAGGGACGGCUAACUACGUG